UGAGGAAUAUUGCCCAAUGGACGCAAGUCUGAGGCAGCGACGCCGCGUGGGUGAAGAAGGCCUUCGGGUCGUAAAGCCCUUUUCUGUGUGACGAGCAAGGACGGUAGCACAGGAAAAAGUCUCGGCUAACUACGUGCCAGCAGCCGCGGUAAUACGUAGGGGGCAAGCGUUGUCCGGAUUUACUGGGUGUAAAGGGCGCGCAGGCGGGAUAAAAAGUCAGUGGUGAAAUCCUACAGCUUAACUGUAGAACUGCCUUUGAUACUUUUAUUCUUGAGUUCGGGAGAGAGAGACGGAAUUCCAGGUGUAGUGGUGAAAUACGUAGAUAUCUGGAAGAACACCAGUUGCGAAGGCGGUCGCUUGGUCCGACACUGACGCUGAGGCGCGAAAGCGUGG
rnacentral:rRNA from 1 species